CCUACGGGUGGCAGCAGUGGGGAAUAUUGGGCAAUGGGGGCAACUCUGAUCCAGCAACGCCGCGUGAAUGAAGAAGGAUUUCGGUACGUAAAGCUCUGUCAGCGGGAAAGAAAAUGACGGUGGUUGCCUAAGAAGCACCGGCUAACUACGUGCCAGCAGCCGCGGUAAUACGUAGGGGGCAAGCGUUAUCCGGAUUUAUUGGGCGUAAAGGGAGCGUAGGCGGCGGAGUAAGUCUGGGGUGAAAUGCCGGGGCUCAACCCCGGCACUACUGCCGAAACUGUGAAGCUGGAGUGCAGGAGAGGUAAGUGGAAUUCCUAGUGUAGCGGUGAAAUGCGUAGAUAUUAGGAGGAACAUCAGCGGCGAAGGCGACUUACUGGACUGUAACUGACGCUGAGGCUCGAAGGCGUGGGGAGCAAACAGGAUUAGAUACCCGAGUAGUC
rnacentral:rRNA from 1 species